GGCAUGGUGGCUUAGUGGUUAGCACGUUCACCUCACACCUCCACGGUGGGGGUUCGAGUCCCACCGGGGCCG